rnacentral:lncRNA from 10 species
GGUGAGAGGAGCCUCCGCCAGUGCAGAAGGCAACAGAUAAUUCCACAGUACAGAGCAAAGCGGAGAAAAACUGCAACGUGGCACCUUCCCAGGAGACAAGACAGAGAACAAACAAUGAGCAACCAAGCAAAAAGGGUUUUCCUGAAACAAACUCUCAUCAUCUGAGAAAACCUGCAUGCGCCUCUGCUGUCUGCACCCCAGAGGGAACCAGCAGUGUGCCCUGGGAAAAGCUGGGGCCCCACAGGUCCCAGUCUCUGAACAGGGUCUCGUAUAAAGAAGCACCAUCCAGUGACUGUUGCAGCGUGCACUGGCAUCUCGAAGACGGCAUCAACGAAGAGAUCAAGUACUCCAAGAAAGAAGGAAAAAAGGGAGAGAGAGAAGAUCCUUGCAAUGAUGAAAUCCCUUCGACUUUGCCAUCUCGUCUUUCUCCACACAGGGUCGCAGAAGAAAGCAACAACAUGGACCACUCGCCAGCGUCUCUUUGAACAGAGAAGCUACUGCUAUCUAAAGUAGAUUUUAUUAGAGCCCUAGGAAAUGAGAAAUUAUUAUUUCAGAAGCAUCAUUUUUCCUGCUGGGUGGAUGUACAGAGUAGUUGGGGGAGAUGUAUUUUAGCCGUUGGUCCUAGUCACUGUUUUUUUUCCCUGUUAAUCCCGAGACAUUUUUCUUUUUCUUUCUUUCUUUCUUUUCUUUUUUUUUUUUUUUGAGACAGAGUCUCACUCUGUCACCCAGGCUGGAGUGCAGUAGCAUGAUCUUGGCUCACUGCAACCUCCGCCUCCCAGGUUCAAGAGAUUCUCCUGCCUCAGCCUCCCGAAUAGCUGGGACUACAGGCACACGCUGCCAUGCCUGGCUAAUUUUUUGUAUUUUUAGUAGAGACAGGGUUUCACUGUGUUAGUCAGGAUGGUCUUGAUCUCCUGAUAUCAUGAUCCGCCCGUCUCAGCCUCCCAAAGUGCUGGGAUUACAGGUGUGAGCCACCGUGUCCGGCCCAAUAAUAAAAAAAAAUUUAAAAAAAAAUUUAAAAAAAAAAAGUUAGAAUUACAGGCACCUUUGCUGGAAAGCAGGAUUCCUGGGCGGGUGACAGGC